rnacentral:sRNA from 1 species
GGGUCAAGGAGACCGCGACCGAACCGCC